rnacentral:rRNA from 1 species
GAUGAACGCUGGCGGCGUGCCUAAUACAUGCAAGUCGAGCGAACAGACGAGGAGCUUGCUCCUCUGACGUUAGCGGCGGACGGGUGAGUAACACGUGGAUAACCUACCUAUAAGACUGGGAUAACUUCGGGAAACCGGAGCUAAUACCGGAUAAUAUAUUGAACCGCAUGGUUCAAUAGUGAAAGACGGUUUUGCUGUCACUUAUAGAUGGAUCCGCGCCGCAUUAGCUAGUUGGUAAGGUAACGGCUUACCAAGGCGACGAUGCGUAGCCGACCUGAGAGGGUGAUCGGCCACACCGGAACUGAGACACGGUCCAGCCUCCUACGGGAGGCAGCAGUAGGGAAUCUUCCGCAAUGGGCGAAAGCCUGACGGAGCAACGCCGCGUGAGUGAUGAAGGUCUUCGGAUCGUAAACCUCUGUUAUUAGGGAAGACCAAAUGUGUAAGUAACUAUGCACGUCUUGACGGUACCUAAUCAGAAAGCCACGGCUAACUACGUG